AAGCUAAAAAUACAAAACUAAUAUCAAAAUAGGAUAGAGCUCGUCGAAACAAAAAUUUUGAUACCAAUUUCAAAAAUUUGGCCAAAAAACGGACCGAAAAGGCCAAACCGGUUGAACUGGACCCAAACACUUAAAUGAGGCAGCAGCUCUUUUCUUCUUCACAAGCUGCUGCGACGCCAUUACAGCAAGGGAGGGAGAGGAGAUUCACAAACCCUCACCAUUCCUUCCAACUACCAUAACUUCCUCAUCCGGGCUCCGAUCGCCGCACCGUUUGCGGCCACGUGUCGGGCUCGUCGAGCUCUUCAAUUCUAUCCAAACAAAACAGUAAGUGAAUCGGUUUUUCCUAGCUCCAUUUCUGCUGGUAUAUGAAUUUCGAGUUUAAGGUUUGAGAAACUCAAUUCCUUUAUGAUUUUUAUGUUUUAGGGGUCCACUAGACUUGAUUUCUUGUGGGUAUUGCCCAAGGAUCAGUGGGUAAAGGUAGUGUGUAUGUGAAUGUUGAUGCUUGUUGGAGACUUGUUGGUGAUCAAGCUUGGUUUGGGGCUGUUUGAUUGAGUUUGGAGGGGCUGUAAUUUUGAGUUGUGAGGCUGCCUUGGGUGAACUAAGUGAUCGGCCAAUAUGCAGGUCGAGAAGCUCCUCACUAGACGUCUGGAUCUUGGGAAGCGAAGUAGUCCUUGGGUGUAUUUUGGUUUUGGUUGUAUACAUGUAUAUAUUUGUUUAGCUUACUCUCCAAGUAACUUGUGUAUGCUGCUCCUCUUAGAGGAUUAGGGAGAGAUAGGAGUUUACUUUGAUGUUUUGGUGUAUUUUGGGGAUACUUAAGUAUGUUUAUAUGUAUAUAUAUAUCCUCCGGCCAGCCUUAGCUUCGCAGGCUGAGUCAGAGGCUAGUUAUGUUGUUCCUUGGCUUUUCUUUAUCCCUUCGUUUAUUGUUUUA